AACGUACACGAGCGGCGUGUUUGGGCCGCCAUUAACGGUUCUGUGAAACCCUUUUUGUUUCACUAAAACUGCUAUGAAACGCAUGUUCUGGAAGACAAAACACAUCUCAGGGUAUCCUGCAGAUUUCUAGGAGAAAUUUUCAUCUUAUGUUGGUAGUGCUUAAACACCAGAAGAGCUCAGGAAACGGUAUUUUUUUACAUUUUCUCAUCAGUCAUGUCAGUACGUUCAAAACAACAGCGCAACGAAGGCGGCGGCGACGACAAAGCGCACCACUUCAGGAGCUGAAUGGAAAUGAGACAUGACCCUCUCCAUGACCUGACGAAAGGGGUGAUUGAGAUGGCUAGUGGUCGAAGCUUGCUAAAAAUGAAUUUCAAUCAGCACUUGCUCUGGUCAAAAAGUCACCAAGAACCGGUACGUGGUUGGACCUUCAACUUGAAGGCAGGAUAUUGUAAAGGUAAGAGUCACAAGCCCUUGCUAACGUGAUCUGUUCCAUGCUCCAUUAAAGCGUCCAAAAUUUCACUUGUUGGAAUCAGGUGUUUCAAACCAAAAAAGCACAAGAAGUUAUAGAAAUUGGUCAACUCGGUUGUUAACCUUAACCCCAAAAUGCAUAUAAAUAACACAGUCCUUUUGUGGUUAGAGUUAAAUGAUUCCUGAGGAAACAGACAAGUUUCCAUAUUGAAAACUUUGCACGCACAUGUACAUUGAGGAUGGUGAAAUGUUGAAACUGCAUUCCGCGAUAAACAUUGGCAAUACUAAGUCUGAAGACUGGGUUUCCAAGCAAGCCUGUUUAUCACAGUGUGCUUUCAAGACUUGGGCUGCAUGUAACAAAAUAUUCAGAUGUGGUUCAUGGCCCAAACAUAUUAGAGGGGCUCACGAGUGUCUCUUUGAGACAUUUGUCCGGAAUUUUUUGAUAUCCCUGGAAAGCCCCUUUUGUACCACGGCCACGUUUGUGCAGCUGAUGCAUGUUUUGAUGGAGCAAGGAAGGUACAGAUCUAUACUCUAACCCAAACUCUUUCCAUCUGUGUACAGUAGUCGUGCGAUAAAAAUAAACUGAGAUGCUACAGUUUGAGACUUUAUGUCCGUGCUCGACCAGUCCCUCUCCAAGCAAUAGUACAAAUACCCUGAACUUCUGACUGGUAGUUUAUUUUGUGAAAACCUUAAAUUGAAUUGUUGCAUUUCAAAUUCCCAGUCAAUUUUUCAUUCAUUUACAAAGCCUAUACGUUCAGGGGAACCAAGUUGGUUUAGUGCCUUCUUCCUUGCCUCAUGUCCCACGAGUUGAGUUUACCAAACAAAAACCUUCAAUAUGCAAAUGAAUCUGUUUGCUUUUCAACAGAGGUGCAUUCUGCUUAUUGACUGGUAUUCCUCCAGCAUCAAAGAAAAUUUUCACUUGUGAAAUUCAUCCCUGAUUUCCAUGCACUAUUGUCGAAGCUGCAUCUGUUCCCAUUUACUGAACUUUGAGAAUUAAACCUGUAUAAAAAUUAAUUUAUUUCACUCAAUAUUUGAGCUGAGGCCUAUUUAGUGAUUUUCCUGCAAACCGUCUUGAAACAGUGUUUAAAAUUACAAUGUACCUUGAGAUCCAGGUGAGGUUGAUGAUGUCUUUGAGUCUUACAUCACGUAUGAAUUUUUAGGUUUUUCAUGUACGUGUAGGGUCCCAACUGCACAUGUUCAGUGAAUUUUUUCAAUAAUUGCAUCUUUGUGAUGUCCCUUCUAUGUUAUCUAUGAAGAACAUCCAUCUCCUCGUAUAAAUGAAUCGUCCUUGGCAUAUAUAUAAACACCGUACAUUAAUGUGCUCAUAUUCAGUCAGAUAUCCAUAAUGAAUACAUGUACACCCAAUAUCGAACUGAAAAUGGAGGGCAAUUAAAUGAGUCAUCUUUUCCCCGGUUAUAAAUAUUGCUUGUGAAAUUCUGGAGAAAAUGUCUGAAGAAAAAUUUUUGAAAAACUUUCUGAAAACGAGAACAAUCGAGUAAUGAAUUGUUUUUGGCAUCCAAAGAGUACAUUUAUCUUCAAAACAUUCCCAAGGACAUCCCAUUUCUCCGGGCUGCAUGGCAACAUACAGCAAAGAAAGUUUGCAUGGCAAUUAUGUGGCUAAAGAUUUUUAAUAGAACUCACAUGUAGUUCCAUGUUGGGAUAUCAAACCUUAUAAGAAAAAGGGUACCCGUUUCCAAGAGAAUGGCGUGUGAAAGCACCAUCAGUGCACUAAAUUUUUUCCAGGCUGUGGUUUGUAGAUUGCCAAAAUAUUGUUAGUAAUUGUGGACUGAAGCAAAAAAGUAGUAUAAUUGCAGUGUCUUUGCAUGAGACCACGAAUAUAAAAUUUAAACCAUAGACCAAAAUGUAUUUCAAGUUUUUUACAAACUUGUCUUGGUCUUACUUUCUAUUUGUGAUUACGCAUGUAGUUGUUUGAAAUCCUUUGCAUAUGUUUUACAAAGUUUCCUCCCUGUUACACUCCAAAACGCAAAAUUUGAAUAGAUUCCUUGGGUACACUGUUAGUUCUCAAUUGUCAUGUACAGUGAGUGAAUACACAAAUUUCUUUGAAAAGUUCUGAUGAGGUAGUUUCACCUUGUAUGACGGUGAUGUAUAAAACAUUUCAUGAGACCAUGUCUUGACAUCCUCAAUUAAGUCUGCUCAGUGGAUUCCAGCAUUAUCUGGGCAUGCAGUUGUUUCGGCAUUCUUUUUAAUUACAAACAUCUCAAAUAUUGCAAACAGGUAAGUAUUGUCCCAUUUGUGGACCAAGAAAACAUGGCAUGCUCUUUUAAUAUUGGAAUCCACCUAAGAAUGAGAAAUUGCUCCAAUUGUAGGCCUACAGCUCCUUUCAAUGUUUACAGUGGGAUGAACAUGUUAUUCCCUUUUCAUCCUGUUUUUGCGUUUUGUGGAAACUGCUGCCAAAGUGCUCAAGUUUAUGCAUUUGUUUCACAAGGUGCUGAAAUUAGAAAUGCCCAAUACUCCCCUGUAUUUUUUUCAGAGUAUUGCUGAUUAUCUUUGGGCACUUCCAGAAUACAUCCAAAACAAGUGAACUUAAAAACUCUGUUCAAAAUCAUGCACUUGCAUUGGUCAAAAUCUCUGCUGACUUUGUUAGAAGCCAUUAUUCAUAAAAGGCUUUCAUAUAGAAAAUGAGAUUUCAUCAGUAAUAACACUUCAGUACAAACUGCAAGAAGUUACCAAAAAUGCAGAUUGAAAAUGCUGUUUGUGAAAGCAUACAGUGGUACUGUAAAGCAUUUCUGAUGAAUUUUUUAAUUCAUUAUAGGUUCUUUUGUAGAAAAUCUCAUUACUAGUCAAUCAGGUCCAAUUUCCGAAAGCGUACAGAACAGUACCUAUGUUUUUUAGAAAAGAAAAUACUUUGCUUUGCAGCAAUAUGUUAUCAACCAAUUAAAAAAAAUUGUAUGCCAUUUCGGUCUACAUUUUCAACUUGAUGUUGCUUGAAAAGAUUUGUUUUGCUCUUGUUUUGCAGUUAUUGUCCUUGGUAAAAUAUGGCCUUAGUCAACUUUUUUUAGGGGGGUUCUUUAAAUUUCAAACAACCUAAGGCCUAGCUAACACUGGUCCACUAAAAUAUGCAAAGUACAUGAAAUUGCUUUAGAUGAAUCUCUGUAUCCCCCCAGAACAUUCAGAUUACCAUCAAUUUCUGGUAUUCCCUUGAAUUUUGAAUAAAUGAAGUUUAUUUUAGCAUGUGAUUGAUGUGGUAUGCCAACACUUCCAAAAAAAUUCAAAUUGAUACAAAAUUUCUUUUCAUUUGAUGAAAAACAUUUCUAAAUGAGUAAUCCAAAUGUCCAUGUGCAUUGCCAAUUAGCAUAUGCAACAUAUAAUCAAAUUAGUACGUAACUGCAUGCACUGUUUCUCAUAUUUUUAAAGUUUGACUAUGUAAUUAUACAUGUGCAAAGUUUUGCUGAGUAUCUUUUGACAUGUUUCCACGAACCUGGGACAAUAUGCAAAAUGUAUACUCAAGAAAACUUUGACUGUAAUAAUUCUGUAACGGCAUGCCAUAGCAGACCUGAUUUAAUCAAAUCCUAAUGCAUGUACAUGUAGCUCACCUUUUGAAGGAUUGAGGACUCUUUUUAGUAAUAGCCUGUUAAUGUAUGAACUUUUAAACGACCCAUUUCUGGGCUAUCUAUGGAUCGUAAAAGAUCCCAACAUUUAACUUUAAAAAUCACUCAUUUCUAUUGUCUGAACAAAAGUAGCAUAAAGUUGAAACUAAUCAUUUAUACAUAUGAAGCCUUUACACAUGUUUCCUGUUUACAACAUUUAACAAAUGCCAGCAACAGAAGCAGGACCCGUGGGGAACUGCCCCACCCCUUAAUUUUUUGACCUGGGGCAAGACAUUUGGCAUCAAGUCCUAUUAAUGGCUGAUGCCCAAUGGUGUCACAAAUGCCCCCACCCUUUUGAAAAUCGUUCCACUCCCAUUAACAAAGAAUUUUUAUGAGGUUUUGUCUGAAAUAAAAAUGUUGUAAUGCUGCACACAGAGUUUUUCACCACUGAGGUUUAAAUCGGAGAUAAAGUUUAAAUUCCAUGGUUUGAAAAAAUGGAUUGAUUUUCUGACCCAAAGAAGUGCAUGUAUUCAAUUUGAUUAGAGUGCGGCAUUUUCAUUAAAUCAGAGUCAUUUAUACAGCAUUAAACCAUGUAAAGCAACAUUUCAUUACUUUGUAUAUCUGGUGAUAGCACACGAAAUGUGCUGUUUUUCCAGGACAUACAUGCUAUCCCUUCAAACCUCUAACCAGUUGAAUGAAAAGAAACCAUAUUUUCACAACUCUGGAUCCUUGUAGAUGUUGUUUUUAAAGGUUUCCAAAGUAUGGCGACCUUUUUUAAGGAGAACCAAAUGCUGCUUCAGUGUAUAUGUAUAAUGCUUCAAAACAAUGCACACAAUGUUCAUCUGCCCUUGGGAGAGAAGAUGAGUUUAUAAGUUCAUCUGCAGAACGGAAAUAUUUCCAUUGAAGUGUAGUGGAGAGAGUUUGCAAGUGAUAGAAACCACCGUGCUCAGCAUGCAUGUGGGGACCGUGAUGAUGAUUUGCAUGCUGACCUUGACAGUUGAACAACCAAGCCAAACCUACUCCAGUAAAUCAAUUGCCUGCAAAUUAAGUGGCCAACAUAGAGCCUGGGGAAGAAUGUAAUAUCCUCCACCCUGAUGUAAAUUGAGACUUUUGUGUGACAGUUCAUCACAGUGUCAUCUCUUUGACCAGUAGCCAUUGGAGAUUGGGGACAGUGAUGUCUUUCUACCCAGUGGCCCAGUGCAGUCUUGUGACAUUGCAGUGAUGUUUACCACUCAGCAAGUAGUGAGCGGAAACUUGUGAGAGAAUUCUUCACAAUGAGGCAUGCACUUCCAAGGUGGAAAUUGUAAGGUUCAUCACAGUGAAAUUUUGUCAGCCAGUUGGAGGCUGGACUUGGGACAUCACUCCAUCACCCUGCAGAAAAUGGACACCUGUUUAGGUAAUUCAUCAGUGUAUGUGCCUACUACUCUGUAGAAAAGGGAGAUUGUGACAUUUCAUCACGAUAAAAUCCCUCUCUCCAGUAGCAUACAGUCUUCCUGCCAUAGAAUUGGCUGUUCACGGUACCAUCUCAACUCCACUGUGUAUAGUUAGCAGAGACCUGGCAGGGUUCAUCCCAAAGACAUCGCUUCAUUCAGUGAUAGACUUGUGACCAGAUGUACAUUGAUGUGACUGUUUGCCACACAAAGGACUUCUCUCCUUAAGUAGCAGAUGAAAACCUCUGACUGCUCAUCACAAUGAUAAUUCUUUCAGUAAAAGAGACCUGUCACAGUUUGUCAUUCCAUUCUCUCCAUCCAGCAGUAGAGUUCUCAGUCUUCUAAGAUUUCCAGGGAGGAAGAAAAUAUGGUUUCUUUCAUGGCUCACAAAAUUUGUCCUAUUUUUACUGAAUUGUUAUUAAAUUUACAUGAAUUGAAUGUUAAAUUGAGACAAACUGGACUUUCAAAAUAGACUCACAUGCAUAUAGGGGAACAGUAAGAGUAGCGUAUGCUGGAUCCUAGGAAUGGCCCAACAUCAUGUCAUUUAGGUGCAAACCCAGCUGCAUGGCGGGACAGUGUACAUGUACACUGUACCUUGCCUUAAAGAUGUAUCAUGUGUGAGCUUGGGAAAGAUGUAAUGUGUCAAGGGCAAAAUUAAGGGAACACGUCUUGUCCUGGGGUGAGGGUGGGGGUUUGAUAAGGGAUUUAAUUCUGUGAAAUGCACUGGAUCCUUGGAAUGGCCCAACAUCAGGGUGUCAGUUGGGUGUUAUACCUGGCUGGCGGUGACAGUGCAUCCUAAUGUUUUCACUUUGGGCUGUACCAGUAUCGCCAAUGUAAUAGGAAGAUGUAUGGAACAAUUUGACUAGCUUAACAUUAGAGUGUCAGGUGGGUAAGCUGGUUGAGAGUGGCAUUUUGUAUGCUUAUUAAAGAUUGAAACCCUCCUAUGCAAAUGUGCAUUCAGCAAAAAGUUGGCUUAUCAGUCAAGUGACUUUUGUUUUUGUAGAUUACAGUCCUCCUGCCUACAUAUACAUUUAGGAGAAUUGAUUGGCUGUGAGUAUUGAUAGAACUUGAAAUAGCUGUGCUUUGACCCUUAGUGAUUGAUGAGCCAGCUUUGACUACCAGUCACCUGCUUUUAUCUGUUGACUGAAUUUGACUGGUCAUAUAGUACCAUGAGUUAUAAUCUGACUGUUGGUCUGCCUGUAUAGAGUACCAGAAGUGAAAUAUGUCACAUUCACAGCUUUCAUUAAAUUUUAUGUGUGUAAAGAAAUUGGUGCGAGAACCAGCGCAAAAACCAUC